rnacentral:rRNA from 1 species
GAUGAACGCUGGCGGCGUGCCUAAUACAUGCAAGUCGAGCGAACGGACGAGAAGCUUGCUUCUCUGAUGUUAGCGGCGGACGGGUGAGUAACACGUGGAUAACCUACCUAUAAGACUGGGAUAACUUCGGGAAACCGGAGCUAAUACCGGAUAAUAUUUUGAACCGCAUGGUUCAAAAGUGAAAGACGGUCUUGCUGUCACUUAUAGAUGGAUCCGCGCUGCAUUAGCUAGUUGGUAAGGUAACGGCUUACCAAGGCAACGAUGCAUAGCCGACCUGAGAGGGUGAUCGGCCACACUGGAACUGAGACACGGUCCAGACUCCUACGGGAGGCAGCAGUAGGGAAUCUUCCGCAAUGGGCGAAAGCCUGACGGAGCAACGCCGCGUGAGUGAUGAAGGUCUUCGGAUCGUAAAACUCUGUUAUUAGGGAAGAACAUAUGUGUAAGUAACUGUGCACAUCUUGACGGUACCUAAUCAGAAAGCCACGGCUAACUACGUGCCAGCAGCCGCGGUAAUACGUAGGUGGCAAGCGUUAUCCGGAAUUAUUGGGCGUAAAGCGCGCGUAGGCGGUUUUUUAAGUCUGAUGUGAAAGCCCACGGCUCAACCGUGGGGGGUCAUUGGAAACUGGAAAACUUGGGUGCAGAAGAGGAAAGUGGAAUUCCAUGUGUAGCGGUGAAAUGCGCAGAGAUAUGGAGGAACACCAGUGGCGAAGGCGACUUUCUGGUCUGUAACUGACGCUGAUGUGCGAAAGCGUGGGGAUCAAACAGGAUUAGAUACCCUGGUAGUCCACGCCGUAAACGAUGAGUGCUAAGUGUUAGGGGGUUUCCGCCCCUUAGUGCUGCAGCUAACGCAUUAAGCACUCCGCCUGGGGAGUACGACCGCAAGGUUGAAACUCAAAGGAAUUGACGGGGACCCGCACAAGCGGUGGAGCAUGUGGUUUAAUUCGAAGCAACGCGAAGAACCUUACCAAAUCUUGAAAUCCUUUGACAACUCUAGAGAUAGAGCUUUCCCCUUCGGGGGACAAAGUGACAGGUGGUGCAUGGUUGUCGUCAGCUCGUGUCGUGAGAUGUUGGGUUAAGUCCCGCAACGAGCGCAACCCUUAAGCUUAGUUGCCAUCAUUAAGUUGGGCACUCUAAGUUGACUGCCGGUGACAAACCGGAGGAAGGUGGGGAUGACGUCAAAUCAUCAUGCCCCUUAUGAUUUGGGCUACACACGUGCUACAAUGGACAAUACAAAGGGCAGCGAAACCGCGAGGUCAAGCAAAUCCCAUAAAGUUGUUCUCAGUUCGGAUUGUAGUCUGCAACUCGACUACAUGAAGCUGGAAUCGCUAGUAAUCGUAGAUCAGCAUGCUACGGUGAAUACGUUCCCGGGUCU